GUCCUCAUACGUGCCACUUUUUAAGCCUGCUUAAGUGAAGCUACUAGAAUGUUUUAAUAAAUAAAAUUUGGGUAUGAUGCUAACAUGGCAACUUGUUUAUGUAGGUGCAAGUCUCUUUUAACCUUAGAAUCACAAACUUGGAUGUUAUGUACGUUAAUCAUCUUUACAAACAACAUUUUAAACCUGGUUGCAUUUAUAAGAAUAAAAUUUGUUUUCCACAUGUGGUUGUGUUACAACGUCAAUCCGACUGGUACAGGAUUGAUUAAACCUUUUGACUUUGAACCAAGAUGUGCUGCAGCUCAAAUUGCAGUUGAUGAAAACACGCAUGCGCUUCGGGGAAAAAAGCUUAAAUGCCUUUUACUUUCAUAUUCAGUUCGCCGUUCUCGCAGAUAGACACACAUUUCUGAUUUUCUUCACUCUGCUGUUUUGCUGCCAAAGGCUUUACAAAAUGUCCGGAGAAGACAGUGCCAUAGACUAUGAUGCUAUCAUUACAGAACUUAAAAGCAUACAACCAAUAAAUGUAUCAGAAAACAUAACCAAGCCGAUCCAACAUGAGAUCAGGAUGAUUUACUUAAUUACAUAUUCUGUUGUCCUGAUCCUCGGUGUCACCCUCAACUUCAUCGUCAUUGUCAUCAGUUGCCUGAAAAACAAGAAAUCUUCGACAGUUGCCAUUUGGAUUACGGCGUUGGCUUUAACACACUUAAUCUCCAGUGCAUUUAAUGUUUUUCAGCUCCUCUAUGCUCACAAUGACUUUGAAUGGAAUUACGGAAAAGCAAGCUGCAAGCUGUCAUCCUAUAUCACCUACGGCAGUAUGUUCUCCACGGCAGCCAUGCUGAGUCUCUGGAGUAUUAGUUUUGCUUUUUCAAAAAGUGAGUGCUUCAAAAAUUGCAAGAAUUGUAACAUCAUUCUGAUUUUAUUCUCCUGGACCAUUGCAGCAGUCUUGGCAUGUCCUUCGCUGUUUUCCAGAGAGGUCCGAUCUUCUCAGUGCAUUGAUGAUUAUGACUUGGACAAAUCGAAAACAACUCAAGACGGCAUUGCAAGGCUGAAGGCAGUCGUUAUCAUGAGAUUUCUCUUUGGGCUUCUUGUGCCAGCUUUGAUAAUGUUUCUCAGCUGUUUGACAUCAGCUCAUAGAACGUGUAAAGACUGCAAGAAGCAGGCACAGAUCAUCUGUGCUAUAAAGAUUGUUUUCUUUGUGUUCUGGGGCCCUCAAAUCUUCUUAACCAUGCUUCAAGCCACUCUUAACCACAGCCUGGGUCCAAGUAUGUUAAAAUAUGGACUUCCAGCAGCUACUGCACUGGCCACAGCCCACUCUUUUACCAGCCCGAUCAUUUAUUUGUUAUUGGGAUGCAAUAUUAAAAUGAAGUGGAUGGCACAUGACCCAGGUCAGUGCAGAAUGCACGAUUAUACUGUUGCCUAGCACCGAUAAGGUCCCCAGAUCAAGUCCCAAAUGAGCCAGGAGGUCUGGCUGUGUGGAGUUUUUCCAGAGUUGAAUUGGAGACACUAACUUGUAUGUGUAGUGAAUGAGAAAGAGUGUUUUCACCUAUGAUGGAAUGGUCAUCCAUGCAGUGUUUUCUACACCUGUGGCCCAGCAUCCCAGCAACCCUAUAGAUGAUACGCAGUUUGAAGAAUGGAUGGAUGACCCAGAUCACAGCAAUCAACUGAUGCUGCCCAUACACAGGUGGGGCUGCAUUUGGCUGGAUUACAGAGUAUUAAAGCACUAUUUCUCUGCUUUUUUUGUGAGAAUUGUAAACCAGGUAAGUAAAAUAAUGGGGAGAAAGCAGAUGACUGUGGCCCAAUUAUAUCAUAUAUAUAGCAGGUUUUGGGUAAAGCUCAGAGCAUUUUGUUAGAUGAGUCCCACCUUAUGUAUCAUAAGUUUCACCUUCUUCCUUCUGGCAUUUGGUUUAGAACUCCUAUUAGUGAAACUAAUCGGUUUAGAAAUUCAUUUAUCCCCUCAGCUGUAAAAUUUUUAAAUUUAAGGUAAAAACCGUUUUAGGAAGGAAACUGAGAGUGUUUUUUGUAUUGUGCGUUUUGUUGUCUUAUAUGAUAUGCUUGUAUGCUGCAACCAAACUGACUUUGGGUAAUAAAUAAAGAUUAACCAAACUGAACUAACCUGUUGCACAAAGAGCUAUUCAAAUAAGAUUGAUUUUAAAUUAUAAUAAGAAUAUUUGAAGAUAAUAGAAAUAAUAAGACAGAGAAAUAAUAAUUUAAAAAAGCUUGUCAGCUUGUGGUCACGUCAAGAGAAAUCUAUCUAGAGCUGUGGUUUUGACACUCUUAUUUACACGUUUUUACGUGUAAAUACGUCAAAAACAUGAAUUUAACAAGCAAAAAAAAAAAAAAUAAUUCUCCAAACAUUUAAAAAAAUAAAAAUUAGCUCUAUAAAAACCGAAAAGAAAUAUAACCACUUUGAUAUAAAAAAAAAAAAAAAAACUAAGCUGCAAUAGCAGGUAGUGUAAAGGGGAGGACUCGGAGGGAUAAAAAACAGGAUUUUGUCAGACUCGGGCCAAGAAUUUCGCGGACCCCACUUUGAGAACCCCUGGUCUAAAGCACCCUCAUUAAAAACUGUAAUAAGAGGAUAUUGGCGAAACAUGUUUGGUAAAUGCUCCAGUGCGUAUUUGCACUCUGGAAAAUAUCAAAAGAAAAAAAAUUAAUUUACAGUGUGUUUUCGUAGCGCUGAGCAAUGUAGCCAAUCACCGUGCAUUCAAGUGGCCAGAAGUCACAUUCAUAUUCAAAGUGAGCCAGCGGUGAGCGGUCUCUGUCUCUAUUUUCUUUUCUUUUCUCUUUCUCUUUUCAUGCCUCUGGGCCUCAGUUGGCUGUGGCAUCUCAGUUCCUGCCCUGUGUGGUUCGGUUUAGUGGUUGGUGGGUGUGCUGUGGGGCCGGGGACCUUGUACCUCAAUUUUCUUGCCUCUGGCAGGUUCAGCACUACAUGCUUUCUUAAUGCAUCACUUGACGAUAUACAUACAUCUAUUGUAAAAUAAGCAAGGGAAGAAGGGAGAAAGGAGAGAGGGGAAGGAAGGGAGAGGGGAGGCAUAUAUGUAUAGCAGACAUAGGCAUAUAUGUAUAGCAGACUUUGCACUGGGCUGGUUCCACACUGCACGUCACGCUCUUUUAAUGCAUCAUACACUCAACAAUACAUAUACAAUAUACUUAUGUAGGAUAAGCGUGGCAUGUGAGUGGCAGCCGGGGGUGGAACUUUGGGCCUUCUGCCCCGCAGCACCUCUCCUUGAUGGCUCGUCUUGGGCCUAAUUUAUGCCUUGCUCACGGAGGGCCCAGAGGCAGUCUUACAAUAUCUUUCUAUUUAUAGCUUUAUUAUUAUUAUUAUUAUUACACACACACACACACACACACACACACACUCAUACUCACUCACACAAAUCAUGUUGGCUGUCAUGUAUGUUUCGUUGACCUUGGUUAUUUUGUAUUUGAUUUGUCACCUGUAAAUAGUAUGUUUGUUUGCAUAAUAAAAAAAGAAAAGAAACACAGUGCAUCUUGGAAGGUGUGGGCGUCAAGGAGAAUUGAAGCAAAGUCCCUCAAGGAAAGUCUGUUCAAUCGGCAGCCAUAUUUGCAAUGCAUCUGGGUAGCUCAUACAAGACCAAGUCCUAUCUACCUGAAUAGGGGAAUCCUGAAAUCUCAAAAACCGUUCACUGAAGUCACAAUUAAAUUACAUAUUUAAAAUCAGCAACAAAAUCUGAAAUGAACUGCCACAUGAUGAAUGUUGUUUCUUAUGCUCAAAUAGCGUUUAAAAAGCAGAUUUUUUGAUGCAAUGACUUUACCAAUCAGCGAUUGGCUCUUUCAGUUAGAAGGUGGGACUAUUCCGCCAUAUUGCACGUUUCAGAUUCUCCCAUUUGUAAGUAUAGGAGUGAACCAUCUUUGUAUAUCUAUUCAUGGGUUCCAAAGACGUCACUUCCGCUAUGCUCGCCGCCAUAUUUGUGUCCGAUGUGACAACGAGCACAACACAUCUCUCUGAGAUUUAAUAGAUAAUAUUAAUAUAUUGAAAUAAUAAAACUUAGCCGAUUGAUGAAGGCUUUAAGACCUUGAAGAAUCCUCUCCCGGCUGGUCGCUCCUGCUUCGCGCGAUUCCCUUCUCCAUCCGUGUUUUGAUUUCAGCAAGUCAGUUUUGGUUAAUGAAACAACGUGAUUACUGAUCAUGAGCCCAACAUCCAGCAAGCUAAGAAAACAUGCAAUCUACAUGAGGGAAGACGUCUUUCACUUCUAGUGUGGAUUUCAUUAUUGAAGCACAAAUCCAGGCACCAAAAGCAGCCCACACCAAGUUCUCUUUAAUUAAAAAUAUGCAUUUUCAUUUAUUCAUAGGCAACAUGGCUGCAAUAACAUUUCAGUUCAAAAUUUUGUCAGUCCGUAUCCAGAUCAGAUGGUGUAGCACCUAGAGAUGACCUCUACAGCCCUGAACGUCCGCGGAGACCAGGACAACUAGAUGACCCCAAAUCCCACAAAAAGACGUAAUAUACGUAUGUUUACAUGCUCAUGCACUACAAAUCAUCCUGCACUGUUCCCCAGCCAGUUCACGAGUUCACACUUACAUAUAAUAAACUGAGUGAAGGUUCAUGCGUAUUUGGCGUGCUGUCCAGGGAGAGGGCUCCGAGCUCGGUACUUACCCCUGAGCCCAGGGUACUCCCCCUGUACGGAGAGAGGGGUCCGAGCUCUGCAUUUAGCCCGGACCCAGAGCGUUCCCCCAUGCUGGGGUAGGAACAGGCUGAAGGUGAGGAGUCGGGGUGGUGGAGGGAUGCUGAAAGACUAGAACUGAUGGAGGUAAGACUGCUUUGAUUAUUUAUAGGGGUUCUCUCUUGAGCUGAUUGGAUAGAUGGUGUGAUUGCUGAUGAUGAAGUGGCUGCGUUAAUUAUCUGCGCGUGCUCCUCCUGAAACUUGUUAAUAAAACAUCACAUGCUGACUCACAAUGUUUCUCUUCUCACAUGUACAGUAUUUAUCUGAAGCACUCGUAUAGUUUGUAUUUUUUAGUUUAUGUAUAGGAAAAAUUAUAUAUAGUAUAUUUAUAGUCAAAAUCUAUCAGUAGGAUAGUUGUGUAUAGGUUUAUAUUGUCUUACUCCUUUGUUGUAUGCCUGUAUUUAUGUAGCACCGUGGUCCUGUGAGGCACGACAUUUCGUUCCACUGUAUGCCCCGCAUGUAGCGGAAUGACAAUAAAGCUCAACUUGACUUGACUUGACUAUAUAAAUAAUAGUGACUUGACUUGACUCUCUCUCUAGAUUUUGUGAGGCCCUGAUGACCCUUAUGAAUCUUUUCCAGGAUCUCUUUUCUCAUGACCCUUGGUACAACAAUUCUCCUUCCCUUAAUCACUAAGCCCUCGUGCUCUGAGAGCUCUGCUUUUGCAGCCAUGUACUCCCUAUCUGCUGCUGAAAUUUGAUUCCCGUGUUGUGGCCAUCCUUCCCUGAUCAGCUUGAUUACAGUUUGCAGCUCACCAUCUGCUGCAGUGGUGGCUUUGAUGCAGUCUAUUUUAUGGGGUGUUGCAGGUAUACCUUGCAUUACCACAGCCACAUAGCACUCCACAUCAGCAUGCAUUCAUGUUUCCUCUGGUUUGUGGGCUCCUGGAGAGUGUAUCCGCCAUGACUAGUGGCCUGGUGCAUACUCAGCGAUGGGCUUGAACCUCAUUAGGCACAUCAGAAGUCUCUGGCAUCGUACGUUAUCUAGACUCUUGUUAUUGAUGAGAGGGACAAUCGGCUUGUGAUCUGUCACCAGCUUAAACUCAUCCAUAUUUUUCAAACUUCCGCACCCUGGCCAGAUACUCUUUCUCGAUCUGCGCAUAUCGAGUCAUCUAGAGCAGUGGUUUUCAAACUUUUUUCAGAGCGACCCUAUUUUUUUUCUUUUUAAAUUGAGGCGACCCAUAUAUAUAUAUAUAUAUAUAUAUAUAAGAAAGAAGGAAGGAAAGACAUUGACUUGGUCGGCAUUGCUGGGAACGCCCACAAAAACGUCAUAUCCGUUCACUCUGUGGGGGAAAACAAACCGUUCUAAUUAAUGUACGGAGACCUUGUUAGACACUUGAUCUCUACUUUUUGUUAUGAUUUCGAUUGAUUUUUGCUUGGUGCAAUGCUGAAAAGUUGCUGUGUGGCGUUCUGUACCUCUAAUAAGUAAAAAAUAAAAAUAAAAACCCGAUCUGAAGAUUUAUAUACUGCUGAAUAAACUGACGGAGGUAGCACAUCUGAGCGGGUAGCACACGACAUCAGAACUCCGACAGCAGUUAUUAUGAAUAUACAACGUAUGAAACAUACCAAGCUUAAUAUUCAUAUUUGUACGCACUCCAGAUAGACUACACAACUUCAAUGACCUGUCAUUAGUCCCGUUCCCCUGCACCGCAACCCAGUUCUGAUGGGGCUUACAGCAACCCUCCUUCACAUCAAAUAAAUGUCACUCCCUGAUAUUUUGUGAUGUAAAUGUCAUAUUAAAACAUUUAUUUCAUAUUAUUAUAUACAAUCCCUUACAAAAAUUAACAAUGGUAUUACUAUAGUAAAUGUAAGCUAGGCUAACCGUGUUUUUUGGGCGUUUUUAUUACCAGCUGUAGCUAAUAACCACAGUUUUACUACAAAUACCAUGGUUAAACUGUGGUCAGUGUAGCAAAACAUGUUUAAUUUGUUUUUUACCAUGGUUUACCUAUAAUAACCAUGUUUUUUUGGUUGUGACCAUGGUUAAUUUUCGUAAGGGAUAUUUUCAUGUUAUUUUAUAUAUUUUUAUUUUACGGCGUGUAUUUGUGAAAAUGAGGCUAUAAGUUUAGCACACACCACAUAAUGCUGUGCAUUUCAAGGCAAUUCAGUAGACCUUUAAUGUUACCUAUAUUUUGUCAAUGUUAAAAUUAUUUUUAAUAUAAAUAAAAUAGUAUGACAGGCUUUUACUCUAGUCUUUAUCACUUUAUUAAGAUUAAGCAAAACAAAACGACUAAUGUUUACUUUCACAAGCCGUCACGUAUAGGCUUGUAGUAAGCGGUCUCUUGCCUGGAGACUCAAUCAGGUAACAAAAAGUGUCGGGAAACGACACCUCUGGCCAUUCCGUUGGGUCGUCUGUCCAGUCACAGAUACCAUACGGACAGUCCGACACAAUACAGCUCAGUUUUUCGACGUAUCUUGCUCUGUCGAGCAGCAGAAAUUAUUUUAAGUACACCAUUCUGGGUCAACUCCAUGCUUUUCCAAUGAGGGGGAAAUGUUCGUUUUCCCCCACGCUGACUCCGCCCACACAGCUAUGACACGACACCAACCAAGUCAAUUGCGCUACAGACCGAUCUCGAGUCCCACCGUAUAGAGCUCCGGAAGGAUGCGCUGUUCCAAAAUCAAAUCUGUCUGUGCUUCUGAAAUUAGUGAGGGUGCUUGCCUUCAUGCACAUCUAUUCUGACAUAUCCGUAUCAGUUACAAAAUAUUAUUACUUGCCUAUAAGGCCUUAAAUGGUUUAUCUCCUGCUUACCUAACUAGCCUUCUACCAUGCUAUAAUCCAACACGCUCCCUAAGAUCGCAAAACUCUGGACUUUUGGUAGUACCUAGGAUAGCAAAGUCCACUAAAGGAGGUAGAGCUUUUUCACAUUUGGCUCCCAAACUCUGGAAUAGCUUUCCUGAUAACGUUCGGGGUUCAGACACACUCUCUCUGUUUAAAUCUAGAUUAAAGACGCAUCUCUUUAGCCAAGCAUUCACAUAAUGCAUCAUAUAUAGUCUUGUACUGCAGUUAUAUCUGCUCAAAUGCACAUUAUUAUUCUUUAGCUUAGGUUGAACAAAUCAUUUUUGCUUGGAUGGAACAGCAGCUACGCUAAUUAUGUCUCUAUUUGUUUCUCUGUUUUUGCCGCGGGAUUAACAUCCCGUGGUAACUAGGAAUUACAGAAGCUUCAGUCUGGAUCCAACACUUAAAUGAUCUGAGAUGACCAAACACCUGAGAGGAGAUGAUGCCAACCCCUCAGAGGACCUCAGAGGAUGCCAACCCUCAGACAAUAUACAGAAUUACCCAAUUUUGCCAUAAGUUAAAUAUAUUAAGUUUCUACAAUAUAUAAAUAUAUUGUAGAAACUUAAUUUCCUGUAAAGCUGCUUUGCAACGAUUUGUAUCGUAAAAAGCGCUAUUCAAAUAAACUUGAUUUUAAUUGAAUAUCAUAUUUUGUCCAGGCCAUAGUUAUGAUUAUCACAAAGUCAUUGCGAUUUCGAGAGAAUAUGUGGAUGUCACUUCCGAAAGUUUGUUGCAACUACGCCACAUUGGUCCUCUUAGCAGCAUGAAAAACAAAACUUUUAUUCAAAUUCUGAAUGGAGAAUAGGCUAUAUAAAGCAAAGAAAGUGCGCAAAGUGCGCUGUCCAGCUAUCAUCCAUCUUCACAUUGAUCUUCAACAGAUCACUAGAGCUGUGUGAAGUCCCCUCCUGCUUCAAAUGUUCCACCAUCAUCCCUGUACCCAAGAAACCAAAAAUCACAGGACUUAAUGACUACAGACCUGUUGCUUUAACAUCUGUGGUCAUGAAGUCAUUUGAGAGACUGGUGUUGGCCCACCUGAAGGACAUUACUGGACCCUUGCUGGACCCCCUACAGUUUGCUUACCGAGCAAACAGAUCUGUGGAUGAUGCAGUUAAUAUGGGACUGCACUACAUCCUGCAACAUCUGGACAAACCAGGGACUUAUGCAAGGAUCUUGUUUGUGGACUUCAGCUCCGCUUUCAACACCAUCAUCCCAGACACCCUUCAGAACAAACUUACCCAGCUCUCUGUACCCACCUCCAUCUGUCAGUGGAUUACAAGCUUCCUGACAGACAGGCAGCAGCUAGUGAGGCUGGGAAAACUCACAUCCAGCACCCGCACCAUCAGCACUGGAGCUCCUCAGGCGUGUGUGCUCUUCUCCCUCUACACAAAUGACUGCACCUCUAAAGACCCCUCUGUCAAACUCCUGAAGUUUGCAGAUGACACUACAGUCAUCGGCCUCAUCCAGGACGGCGAUGAGUCUGCUUACAGACAAGAGGUUGAGCAGCUGGCUGUCUGGUGCAUUCACAGCAAUCUGGAGCUAAACACGCUCAAAACUGUGGAGAUGAUAGUGGACUUCAGGAGAAACCCCCCUCCUCUCCCCCCACUCACCAUCAUGAACAGCACUGUGGCUGCAGUGGAGUCAUUCAGGUUCCUGGGCACAACCAUCUCUCAGGACCUGAAGUGGGACAAUCACAUUGACUCCAUCGUGAAAAAGGCCCAGCAGAGGUUGUACUUCCUUCGUCAGCUGAAAAAGUUCAACCUGCCACAGGAGCUGCUGAAACAGUUUUAUUCAGUUGUUAUUGAGUCGUUCUGUGCUCCUCUGUAACUGUCUGGUUUGGGUCAGCCAGCAAAUCAGAUUUAAGAAGACUUCAACGGACUGUUAGAACAGCAGAAAAGAUCAUUGGUGUGCACCUGCCCAGCCUUCAGGACUUGUACUACUCCAGAGUGAAGAAACGGGCAGGUAACAUCAUCAAAGACCCCUCUCACCCCGGACACAACCUGUUUGCACUUCUCCCUUCAGCAAGACGCUACAUAUCUCUGUGCACUAGAACAUCUAGGCAUAAAAACAGUUUUUUCCCCCAUGCCAUCUCCAGCUUAAAUAGUUAACACAUGGAUCAUUACCUGUGUUCUGUAAUUCAUUCUGUAAUUCAUUCUCCAUCUUUAAUUAUUGCCUCUUUCUCAAGUAUCAUGUAAAUACAUAUACAUAUCUGUUUAUUUGUACAGCUGUAUAUGAAGUAAAUAAUGCACAAAUCUGUACAUAAAUCUACUGUUCCAGAUUCAUACACAUUAUUAUUAUUAUUAUUAUUAUCUAUUGUUAAGUCUUACUAUAUAAAUGUUUUUUUCUGUUCUCAUGUCAGAUGUGUAUGUAUGUACAGGUGCUGGUCAUAUAAUUAGAAUAUCAUUAAAAAGUUGA